GACGGAUGGUUCCAGAAAGCGGGGAACUGACCGCGAUGAAUGAAUUGUGAAUAGCGCGGCUCCGGCAAGAGCCUCAGAAACCUUAAUUGGGGCUUAAAAUGUCAUCUCCAUGAGAUCAGGAACCUGGUGUGCCGUUAUCACAGCUGCACGUCCACAACUGCUCCGGGAGCACUAGGAUCAAAGGCGGCCCGAGGAGCGAGCAGGCAGUCAAGUCGGUUGGACCUUCCCGUCUAUCAAGGAGCUCCCGCAUUUUCAUUGUUACUACGAGGCUUUCUCUCCCUUCCCCCUUGCUCACGAACUGCAUAGAACACAACCACCACACUCCCCUCAGGUCUUCUCCUGGGAACCCCUCAAGAAUCUGCAUCACUGCCUCUGGAUGUCAGGGUCACAGUCCCGGGUCGGGGUCCCACGAGGAUUCCGUGCUUCGUCAUCCUGCGUCUGCAAUCCUCCCUUCACCACCUAUUUUCUCUGUUCUCCAUCCCUCUGCCUCCGUCUCACUUCCUCAAGAGGUCGAGUUCUCUUUGCCUGUUCGACCACAUGGCUCCCCUGGAACCUUUUCCUUAAACCAGCCCCUCCCGCUCCGCCCUCAUUCUCUCUGCUUUCCUGGCUCGGAAACGCC
rnacentral:lncRNA from 1 species